GACGAACGCUGGCGGCGUGCUUAACACAUGCCAGUCGAACGGAAAGGCCCUGCUUGCAGGGUACUCGAGUGGCGAACGGGUGAGUAACACGUGGGUGAUCUGCCCUGCACUUCGGGAUAAGCCUGGGAAACUGGGUCUAAUACCGGAUAGGAGCCAUUUUUAGUGUGAUGGUUGGAAAGUUUUUUCGGUGUAGGAUGAGCUCGCGGCCUAUCAGCUUGUUGGUGGGGUAAUGGCCUACCAAGGCGGCGACGGGUAGCCGGCCUGAGAGGGUGGACGGCCACAUUGGGACUGAGAGACGGCCCAGACUCCUACGGGAGGCAGCAGUGGGGAAUAUUGCACAAGGGGCGCAAGCCUGAUGCAGCGACGCCGCGUGGGGGAUGACGGCCUUCGGGUUGUAAACUCCUUUCGCUAGGGACGAAGCUUUUUGUGACGGUACCUAGAUAAGAAGCACCGGCUAACUACGUG
rnacentral:rRNA from 1 species